rnacentral:misc_RNA from 1 species
CUCAACAAAUAUGAGAUCAAGCUAAACAAUGCUAUCCUUGCUGAAGACAAGCACUUGCCAAUGUACGAAGAAAUGGCUAGCAAAUACAAUGUAGAAUAUAUUGCUGGAGGUGCUACCCAAAAUUCAAUAAGAGUUGCUCAGUGGAUGCUUCAAAUUCCUGGUGCAACAAGUUAUAUGGGCAGUAUUGGAAAGGAUAAGUUUG